GCUUUUGUAUUCUAGGUUUUUGCUCAUGCAUCAUGGUUGUCUGAGCAUACAGCAUGCUUGUGUACUCAUAUCCCAUGGUUCCUGAGCAGAAAACUUCAUUGCCUGCUG
rnacentral:pre_miRNA from 14 species